rnacentral:rRNA from 1 species
UAAGUGUUGGAGGGUUUCCGCCCUUCAGUGCUGCAGCUAACGCAUUAAGCACUCCGCCUGGGGAGUACGACCGCAAGGUUGAAACUCAAAGGAAUUGACGGGGGCCCGCACAAGCGGUGGAGCAUGUGGUUUAAUUCGAAGCAACGCGAAGAACCUUACCAGGUCUUGACAUCCUUUGACCACUCUAGAGAUAGAGCUUCCCCUUCGGGGGCAAAGUGACAGGUGGUGCAUGGUUGUCGUCAGCUCGUGUCGUGAGAUGUUGGGUUAAGUCCCGCAACGAGCGCAACCCUUAUUGUUAGUUGCCAUCAUUCAGUUGGGCACUCUAGCAAGACUGCCGGUGACAAACCGGAGGAAGGUGGGGAUGACGUCAAAUCAUCAUGCCCCUUAUGACCUGGGCUACACACGUGCUACAAUGGGAAGUACAACGAGUUGCGAAGUCGCGAGGCUAAGCUAAUCUCUUAAAGCUUCUCUCAGUUCGGAUUGCAGGCUGCAACUCGCCUGCAUAAGC